GUUCAGGGGUAAACCUAAGAAACCCAAAAGAUCGAACGGGGAGAUUCAUCGUCAGCGGCGCUGGCUUCGCGUCGGUGGGCGAUGUCCGCGCGGUUUCUCGCGCGGGCACGCUACCGUGCGCGCAUGACCGGCGUCGUCGUCGUGCACUUCUCCCCUAGUAGAACGUCGCGACCCGCUGGGUGUCGGUCUACGGCCCGGGUGUGGUGACUGUCGCGUCGCCGGUAAAACGGCACGCGGCAAACCCUCGGACGCCCGGCCGGCUGCCCGGCGGUACUCGCACGGUAUCAGGCCGCACAGUUUAACGCUCUGCGUCAGGCCCGUCGCAAGCGCGCGCCACGGUCGCUCGGAGGUACGGACCCAGCGCCGUCCCCGGCCCUGGCCCGCUGUUGGCCGACGGUGAUCCUUUGACAGGCCUUACGGGGCGAGGUGCGCUCGCGCACCUCCGCCCCAAUACCGGUCGGCGACGCUACUGCUUUGGGUACUCUUAGGACCCGUCUUGAAACACGGACCAAGGAGUCUAACAUGUGCGCGAGUCAUUGGGACUAGCAAAACCCAAAGGCGCAAUGAAAGUGAAGGUCGGCCUCGGCGCCGACCGAGGGAGGAUGGGCCGCGUCGCGAUGCGGCCUCGCACUCCCGGGGCGUCUCGUUUCUCAUCGCGAGAAGAGGCGCACCAAGAGCGUACACGUUUGGGACCCGAAAGAUGGGUGAA
rnacentral:rRNA from 1 species